rnacentral:lncRNA from 1 species
UGUUAAUUGAUUUGCGUAUAGGAUAGAGAUAUACCUAUAGGCCAUAUGUAGUUAGAUUAGAACCUGAACUUAAUGAAUCUAAUUUAAUUUCAAUUCACAUAGGGAUAUAGUGUCUUGGUUAAAAUAGAUAUUUUUAUAAGAUGUGUCACGACCCAGUACUCUCUUCGAGUCUGUGACAACCGCCGUGAUGUUCCGAUAGACAUUCACUACCCAAAAUGCCAACCAAAACCCCACAAGGCUUUAAUAUCAGUUUUCGCACCUCCCCUGUGAGCAACAGUUGUUAAGUAUCAUGUUUUGAGAGAUUAUAAACUAUUUCCAAAUCAAAACAAUAGAAAAAUAAUUUUUUGCUCACAAGGGCAUUUUGGUCAUUUUUCCUCAAAAAUCUCGAAACCAGCUAAAAAUGUAGUAUGCGAGUGAAAAACACAUAUUUCAUAAUAAAAAAUAAGUUUAGAUGUCUAAAACAUUCAUUUAAAGUGAAAUUAUAACUAUUUGAAUAUAAUAAAAAUAUUCAAUAAAACAUUUUAUUUUCUUAUAAAACAAUAUUUAUAGAGUUACCAGUAAAUAAUUUUUGUAGCGUAAAAGCUAAAUAAAUUCAAACAUACUGUAAUAUAGAUAACCAAAGUAUAAAAUUUAAUUUACAGUGACACGUGGGCCCACGAACGACCAAAAGCAUCAAAAGCGGUAAACCUAUAGUUUUUGAGGAUGCAAGUCCAACUGUAGCCCUCAACAAAGUGAGCUAUCUACAAACUAUCCUGAGCUUGAAAUUGGUGGAAAGGAGGGUGGUGAGAUUAUAUAAUCCCAGUGAGUAAACAAAUACCAUCUAAAAUAUCUAAAGCUGAGUAAAUGGAGACAGAUAAAAUAGUUUAACAUACUAUAAUUCAUCACCUUUCAACUCAUUUCAACCAAAUUAAAUCAAUUCAUAUAAAUCGAGUAAUCAACAUGGCUUAUGAAUUUCUUAAAACUUUGGCUCGUGCCAAAAUCAUUCUCAUACUCAGUUAUCAGCGAUACCUUGACCGAGGGCUAUCCCAACCGAGUCCGCCAAGACUAUUAAAAAGUCAUGUACGUAUAAAUCAUGUUUUUAUUUUGAAAACAUAGCCUUUCCUUGGGGUUGGCUGAGUCCACCCUCACGUGGUGGUUUGGCGUGAAGUGAACUCUAAAGUUGUACCUCAGGAGUUACCCUACACGCCUCUCCGACCGAGGUAAGAAUAUAACGGGGUUACCGUACCCCUCUAUCAGGCUAGUCCACGAAACCUGCCCACUGUAGCAAGCUAAACCCACCAAUUCAAUAAAAUCUCAACCGCAUGACAUGACAAUUAUAUCACAAUCCAGCCUCUCAAGGCUAAAUACACAAUUCAUAUAUUUCAACACAAAUACCAAUUCAGCCAUUCAUGCAAAUAUUGUCAUAAGUCAUUCGAUUCAAACCAUGAAUUUACAACACAUGAAAACAAUCUCCAAUUACUCUAUUUUCAAACCAUCAUUUCAUUUCAAGACAAUGUUAUAAAAUAAUUUCAUUAAAUCACAUUUUGUUUAUAAAACCUAAAGAUUUACCAUUUAAACACAUUUUUUCUAUAAAAUCACAAAAAUGAAUAAAAACUACUUUAAAUAAUUAAGACGAUAGUAAGGUUACUCACUAUUUCGGGAGUCGAAUUUCGAGUACUCCGAUUCUUGAUCCUCGGGUACUAUCUCUUUUCUUUUCCUAGAAUGCUUACCACCUAGACAUAAUGCACAAUAAGCCAUUUACUACAUUUGUGCUAAAUUGUUAUAAAACCAAUUCAGGCUCUAUACUAAUGCAUGAAAUGGGAUGUAAAUUGUUCAGGUAACUAUCUAAAUACGGUGUUCAAUAUAAAUUCAAUUAUGUACCUAAAUAAAACAAUAUUGGCCUAAUUCGAUCUAUCACUCGAUUAAUUGGCCAAUACGUCAAAUUCGACUCCAAAUAAUUCCAUUUUCCUCCCAAUACUCCAAAUCAUCAAACACAAAUUAAAUAGCUUGAAAUAUGGCAAAAUCAUCCUCACAUUUUCUCUUGGAAAAUUCGGCCAUGGUGGGUGCAUCAACACUAUAAUUUUUUAAGCUUGAUUCUCACACCAUAAAUCACUAAUUCCUAACCAAAUCACUUGAAAUAAAAUGAAAAUCAUCAUCAAUAUUCCACAUGGAGAAUUCGGCCAAUGAUGGGUGAUGGAAGAACAUGAAUUUUUCUUGCUUGAUUUUCAUGCUACACAUCACCAAUCAACUAAAAACACUAAAAUACAUUGAAAUCUAACCAUAUCAAGCAUCAAAACCUUUCUCUAAGUGUUCAGCCAGCAAGAUACCCAUCAUGAAAUCAUGUGAUUCAACCAUGAAAAAUGCAAAAGAAUGUAUGGGAAAGGUAGAUCAUAAGUCAAAAUUAAGAAAUUUUACUUUUGAUUACUUGAUUCCUUGAAAUCCACCAAAUUUUCUCUUGAAUUUUCACCCUAGGAUUCUUGUUCUUUCUUUUCUUCCUUUGUUCUUGCUUUGUUUGGCCAUAUGAAGAGAAA